GACGAACCGUGCGAACGUUAUUCGGAAUCACUGGGCUUAAAGGGUGCGUAGGCGGGUUGCCAAGUCUGUGGUGAAAUCCUCCAGCUUAACUGGAGAACGGCCGUGGAUACUGGCGACCUCGAGUGGGGUAGGGGCUUGCGGAACUGUGCGUGGAGCGGUGAAAUGCGUUGAUAUGCACAGGAACUCCGGUGGCGAAGGCGGCGAGCUGGACCCUAACUGACGCUGAGGCACGAAAGCCAGGGGAGCGAACGGG
rnacentral:rRNA from 1 species